rnacentral:sRNA from 1 species
ACACACCUUCCGUAUGUCAUAUCGGAACAUGGGGUAUAAAAGGAAGAAAGUUUCUGGAGUAAUUUAUACACCGUUUGUGAGUUUUCUUGUCCAUACCUUACCUGCAAAAACCAGACUAACAGAGAAAGAUGCCACAAUGUUUGGCUUUAGGGGAGGGUAAUCUAAUCGGCACGAAAUCAAACAAGAAGGACCAUCAUACAAGUUCUACGGAUUCCUUAUACCGGGAAAUAAUCCGCAAGAAGAUGCACCCAAAGUCUCUCAGUGGUUCUGUUUCCUCCCUCCCAGAUCGUCUGGACGAAAAUGACAGUCGAUCUCACUCUAGCAUGGAGUCCAAGAAGUCAUGUUCCUGUGAACAUAUCAGAUCAUCAACCCCAUGCGAACACGAUGACUGCAUCUGUGAGAUUUGCGGCGAGUCGCUCGAAAAGCGUUUUGGUAAAAUGGACGGUCACAGAAUGGCCAGCUUCUACAAGCUGUGGGACCGACCCUCCAGACAAGAUGUCGUCUCCCGCCCCCUGGAAAGACCCCGGUCCCUGGAGAGAGUGGACAAGUACAGGGACUGUGGGUGUUAUACCAGGACGUAUCUGAGAAAGGAACAGAAGUGGUGCACUAAGCCGCAUUCAUUGCACUGACGCCCUGAUUAUGAACUGUCUGUAAAUGGCCAUGAAACUGUGCAAUGGACAAAUUGUUGAUACUCCUACUACUAAGUGCCAAUACUUUAGUUAUUAUAUAUGUGGAUAGUUGUUUGUUAACGUAUGUAGUUAUAUAGUUUAUUGCUGUUUUAAAUUGCUUUGCAUAGCAAUAAAUACAUUAAUGUUACUGUUUA